rnacentral:rRNA from 1 species
CCUACGGGGGGCAGCAGGCGCGAAAACUUUACCAUGCGGGCAACCGUGAUAAGGAAACCCCGAGUGCCAGCACAGGCUGGCUGUCCGCCAGUUUAAACAACUGGCGAAGAAAGGGCCGGGCAAGACCGGUGCCAGCCGCCGCGGUAAUACCGGCGGCUCGAGUGGUGGCCGCUAUUACUGGGCUUAAAGGGUCCGUAGCUUGAUAAUAGGGUCCCUUGAGAAAUCCGCCGGCUUAACUGGCGGGCGUUCAGGGGAAACUUGUUUUCUAGGGACCGGGAGAGGUGAGGGGUACUGCCGGGGUAGGAGUGAAAUCCUGUAAUCCCGGUGGGACCACCUAUGGCGAAGGCAUCUCACCAGAACGGGUCCGACAGUGAGGGACGAAAGCUGGGGGAGCAAACCGGAUUAGAUACCCGCGUAGUCC